rnacentral:rRNA from 1 species
CAGUCGCCACGGGAAUACGGAGGGUGCAAGCGUUAAUCGGAAUUACUGGGCGUAAAGCGCACGCAGGCGGUCUGUCAAGUCAGAUGUGAAAUCCCCGGGCUUAACCUGGGAACUGCAUUUGAAACUGGCAGGCUAGAGUCUUGUAGAGGGGGGUAGAAUUCCAGGUGUAGCGGUGAAAUGCGUAGAGAUCUGGAGGAAUACCGAUGGCGAAGGCAGCCAUCUGGCCUAAUACUGACGCUGAGGUACGAAAGCAUGGGGAGCAAACAGGAUUAGAUACCCGCGUAGUCCCUGUCUCUUAUAU